GUUGAACGCUGGCGGCGUGCCUAAUACAUGCAAGUCGAGCGAAGCGGGGACGGGUGCGUAACACGUGGAUAACCUCCUUUAAGACUGGGUUAACUUCGGGAAACCGGAGCUAACUCCUAUACUUCUAGAUGGAUCCGCGCUGCAUUAGCUAGUUGGUAAGGUAACGGCUUACCAAGGCAACGAUGCAUAGCCGGCCUGAGAGGGUGAUCAGCCCCACGGGAACUGAGACACGGUCCAGACUCCUACGGGAGGCAGCAGUAGGGAAUCUUCCACAAUGGGCGAAAGCCUGACGGAGCAACGCCGCGUGAGUGAUGAAGGUCUUCGGAUCGUAAAACUCUGUUAUUGGGGAAGCGGUACCUAAUCAGAAAGCCACGGCUAACUACGUGCCAGCAGCCGCGGUAAUAC
rnacentral:rRNA from 1 species